CAAAGAUUAAGCCAUGCAUGUCUAAGUAUAAGCGUUUAUACAGUGAAACUGCGAAUGGCUCAUUAUAUCAGUCAUAGUUUAUUUGAAAGUCCCUUACUACAUGGAUAACCGUAGUAAUUCUAGAGCUAAUACAUGCGCACAAGCCCAACUGCUUCGGCGGACGGGCUGCAUUGAUUAGACCGAAACCAAUGCGUCCUCUCGGACGGUAUUGUGGUGAAUCAUAAUCACUUGCGGAUCGCACGCUUCGGCGGCGACGUUUCAUUCAAGUUUCUGCCCUAUCAGCUUUGGAUGGUAGGGUAUUGGCCUACCAUGGCUUUAACGGGUAACGGGGAAUUGGGGUUCGAUUCCGGAGAGGGAGCCUGAGAGACGGCUACCACAUCC
rnacentral:rRNA from 1 species